rnacentral:lncRNA from 10 species
CAUUUUCAAAUUGCUUUUCAGUCAUUGGUUUAUUCUUCACAGCACACCUGGGGAGUACAUCUGUGCAUUUAUCCUCUGUUCACAGCUGAGGCAACUGAGACUGAAACAGGCAAAGUGGUUUGUCCAAGAGCAAAGCCAGGGGCAGGGAAGUUUGAAAGAAAGAAAAAUAUGCCAAGAUGAUUAAGUUUCACCUAAGAUUUUAAAGCUCCCACCUAAAAGAUGUGGAAAACAAGCACUAUACCAGGAUAUUGUACCUUAUUUCUGCCCUGUCUUAAAAACACCAUGACAUUUUCCUUGAUUUCAAGAAUACAGAAAAUGAACAUGGUCCUUUAAAUUAUGUGACUCUUUCGAAGCAAAAUGACAACAAGGAAAAACCACAUUUGUUUUCUGCCUCCCUUUUUCAAGAAGCUGAAAAUAUAGUGUAAAUGAACUCUUGGUCGUGGGUCAACAUCCUUACAAUACCUGCCCCUCGUUCUCAGGUUAGAGAUUUCUCCUCU